CUAGCCUCUCCUUCUUCUUACUGCGGAGGGCUUUUAAAGAGGGGAUGUUUGCAUGUGUGUGCCUCUACACAUUCUCCCACCAAGAAGUUAAACCUUCUCACCGGAGAUGGACCCAUCAUAUACUGCAUCAUGUAAAGGAGCUUUGUUUGAAGAAUAAUCGGCAUGCAGCACAUGUUCGACUCCCUUGACUUAUGUAAUGAUUAAGUGCUAUGCUUGCAGUGAACUUGAUGCACAGAAAUUUGUUGUUUUCUGCAUAGAAAUUCCAAUUCUCAUUCUACAACUGGAUAAAAGUGACACAUAAUUGGACAGCAUUGGUCUUGGAAAUUCCACAGCGGGUCUUCAGUCUCGUGUCAAUUGAGCCUGACUUAAAGCUUAUCAAACCAAAUCAUGCAUAAACUUACAAAUUUGUCAGCCAAUUAAUUUAAACAAUGGAUGCAUCGAGAGAAGCUAAAAUGAAACAAGAUAAAAAUUAAAUUAAUAUUUUAUGGGAUGCAUCACUAUACAGUAUUGUUGGGAAGAAGAGAAUACAUGCAUCUUCAGGAUACUGCUUGCCUCCUUUCCUGUAACGAACUACUCUUCUUUUCUGCGAAUUACAAUUUGAUACAUAUGUAAAAAUAAUUCAUCAAAAACACAAAAAA